CCUACGGGAGGCAGCAGUGAGGAAUAUUGGUCAAUGGACGAGAGUCUGAACCAGCCAAGUAGCGUGAAGGAUGACUGCCCUAUGGGUUGUAAACUUCUUUUAUAAAGGAAUAAAACGAGGCACGUGUGCCUUUUUGCAUGUACUUUAUGAAUAAGGAUCGGCUAACUCCGUGCCAGCAGCCGCGGUAAUACGGAGGAUCCGAGCGUUAUCCGGAUUUAUUGGGUUUAAAGGGAGCGUAGAUGGGUUGUUAAGUCAGUUGUGAAAGGUUGCGGCUCAACCGUAAAAUUGCAAUUGAUACUGGCAGUCUUGAGUACAGUUGAGGUAGGCGGAAUUCGUGGUGUAGCGGUGAAAUGCUUAGAUAUCACGAAGAACCCCGAUUGCGAAGGCAGCUGACUAAACUGUGACUGACAUUGAUGCUCGAAAGUGUGGGUAUCAAACAGGAUUAGAUACCCUUGUAGUC
rnacentral:rRNA from 1 species